CCUACGGGCGGCAGCAGUGGGGAAUAUUGGGCAAUGGGCGCAAGCCUGACCCAGCAACGCCGCGUGAAGGAAGAAGGCUCUCGGGUUGUAAACUUCUUUUAUCAGGGACGAAGCAAGUGACGGUACCUGAUGAAUAAGCCACGGCUAACUACGUGCCAGCAGCCGCGGUAAUACGUAGGUGGCAAGCGUUAUCUGGAUUUACUGGGUGUAAAGGGCGUGUAGGCGGGAAAGCAAGUCAGAUGUGAAAACCAUGGGCUCAACCUGUGGCCUGCAUUUGAAACUGUUUUGCUUGAGUACUGGAGAGGCAGACGGAAUUCCUAGUGUAGCAGUGAAAUGCGUAGAUAUUAGGAGGAACACCAGUGGCGAAGGCAGUCUGCUGGACAGCAACUGACGCUGAGGCGCGAAAGCGUGGGGAGCAAACAGGAUUAGAUACCCGGGUAGUC
rnacentral:rRNA from 1 species